GCUAUGCUGGGACUGGGAUCCUUCCCAGGUAACUGUACUUCUGGAGCCCAAGCACACAGGUGGUUAUGCUGACAAAAAAAUGCUCCUGGAGAUAUACAUUAUUUCCUCUGAGGAAGUGGUAUAUGCUGGCCAGUUGUUCCCAGGCCAGCAGACACAUCCUUUGGGCACAAAUGGCACUUACUAUGUCCAUGCAGGAGUGUUUCUGCUACAGCUUCGACUGUUAAUGCCUGUGAGCAGACUUCACUCUCCUUGAGAGUUCAAGUGCGGGUCGAACAAUCGAUUCCUCCUCCUUUUCUUUUUCAAGUUUCCUGUCGUUCUUUUGCCCAGAUCAGCACUGAAGGAAAAUAGGAAGGGCAGCCUGGAGUAUGUACAUCUAUACAUCCAGUGACAGAAAGGGAGAGCAUGCAAGUGUGCAUUUAUGAACAUUUAUAAAUUUUUUUUACAUAUAUAGCAUAUAUAUAUAUAUAUGUAUAUAUAUAUAUUCACACUCAUGUGCAAACAUAUACAUACAUAUUUUUUCCUGUAGCUGUCUGUAUGUCACAAACUUCUGACAUAUUCUUACAGUAAAACUAUUGCAGAGAUAGAAGAAAAAAAAGGUUGAGAAUGGGAAAAGUUUGGAAGUACUGUUCAGUUCUGAACUAGAAUAUUAACCCUUCCAAAAAUUCUCCUCUCCUCUUUCAAAGAAAUGUGUUAAGAUCCCAGAGAGUUCCUACAAUUUUCCACGGAUGGGGGGGGGGGGAAAGAAGGGUUAU